rnacentral:rRNA from 1 species
AACGAACGCUGGCGGCGUGCCUAAUACAUGCAAGUCGAGCGGACAGAAGGGAGCUUGCUCCCGGAUGUUAGCGGCGGACGGGUGAGUAACACGUGGGUAACCUGCCUGUAAGACUGGGAUAACUCCGGGAAACCGGAGCUAAUACCGGAUAGUUCCUUGAACCGCAUGGUUCAAGGAUGAAAGACGGUUUCGGCUGUCACUUACAGAUGGACCCGCGGCGCAUUAGCUAGUUGGUGAGGUAACGGCUCACCAAGGCGACGAUGCGUAGCCGACCGGGGAGGGUGAUCGGCCACACUGGGACUGAGACACGGCCCAGACUCCUACGGGAGGCAGCAGUAGGGAAUCUUCCGCAAUGGACGAAAGUCUGACGGAGCAACGCCGCGUGAGUGAUGAAGGUUUUCGGAUCGUAAAGCUCUGUUGUUAGGGAAGAACAAGUGCAAGAGUAACUGCUUGCACCUUGACGGUACCUAACCAGAAAGCCACGGCUAACUACGUGCCAGCCGCCGCCGUAACAC